rnacentral:rRNA from 1 species
AUUGAACGCUGGCGGCAGGCUUAACACAUGCAAGUCGAGCGGGGGAAGGUAGCUUGCUACCGGACCUAGCGGCGGACGGGUGAGUAAUGCUUAGGAAUCUGCCUAUUAGUGGGGGACAACAUCUCGAAAGGGAUGCUAAUACCGCAUACGUCCUACGGGAGAAAGCAGGGGAUCUUCGGACCUUGCGCUAAUAGAUGAGCCUAAGUCGGAUUAGCUAGUUGGUGGGGUAAAGGCCUGCCAAGGCGACGAUCUGUAGCGGGUCUGAGAGGAUGAUCCGCCAAACUGGGACUGAGACACGGCCCAGACUGCUACGGGAGGCAGCAGUGGGGAAUAUUGGACGAUGGGGGGAACCCUGAUCCAGCCAUGCCGCGUGGGUGAAGAAGGCCUUAUGGUUGUAAAGCACUUUAAGCGAGGAGGAGGCUACUUUAGUUAAUACCUAGAGAUAGUGGACGUUACUCGCAGAAUAAGCACCGGCUAACUCUGAGCCAGCCGCCGCCGUAA